rnacentral:rRNA from 1 species
UGGGGAAUCUUGGACAAUGGGGGCAACCCUGAUCCAGCGACGCCGCGUGGGUGGUAAGGCCUUCGGGUUGUAAAGCCCUUUCACCGGGGAAGAUGAUGACAUUACCCGGAGAAGAAGCGCCGGCUAACUCCGUGCCAGCAGCCGCGGUAAGACGGAGGGCGCUAGCGUUGUUCGGAAUCACUGGGCGUAAAGGGCGCGUAGGCGGCUGUUUAAGUCGAGGGUGAAAGCCCGGGGCUCAACCCUGGAACUGCCUCCAAAACUAUCAGUCUAGAGUUCGAGAGAGGUGAGUGGAACUCCGAGUGUAGAGGUGAAAUUCGUAGAUAUUCGGAAGAACACCAGUGGCGAAGGCGGCUCACUGGCUCGAUACUGACGCUGAGGUGCGAAAGUGUGGGGAGCAAACAGGAUUAGAUACCCCCGUAGUCC